CGGCGGACGGGUGAGUAACGCGUGGGUAACCUGCCUCAUACAGGGGGAUAACAGUUAGAAAUGACUGCUAAUACCGCAUAAGACCACAGCACCGCAUGGUGCAGAGGUAAAAACUCCGGUGGUAUGAGAUGGACCCGCGUCUGAUUAGCUGGUUGGUGGGGUAACGGCCUACCAAGGCGACGAUCAGUAGCCGGCCUGAGAGGGCGACCGGCCACAUUGGGACUGAGACACGGCCCAA
rnacentral:rRNA from 1 species